rnacentral:rRNA from 1 species
UACGGGGGGGGCAAGCGUUGUUCGGAAUUACUGGGCGUAAAGGGCUCGUAGGUGGCCAACUAAGUCAGACGUGAAAUCCCUCGGCUUAACCGGGGAACUGCGUCUGAUACUGGAUGGCUUGAGUUCGGGAGAGGGAUGCGGAAUUCCAGGUGUAGCGGUGAAAUGCGUAGAUAUCUGGAGGAACACCGGUGGCGAAGGCGGCCAUCUGGCCUGCAAUUGACGCUGAGGCGCGAAAGCGUGGGGAGCAAACAGG